CAGCAGCCGCGGUAAUACGAAGGGUGCAAGCGUUAAUCGGAAUUACUGGGCGUAAAGCGUGCGUAGGCGGUGAGUUAAGUCUGCUGUGAAAUCCCCGGGCUCAACCUGGGAAUGGCAAUGGAUACUGGCGAGCUAGAGUGUGUCAGAGGAUGGUGGAAUUCCCGGUGUAGCGGUGAAAUGCGUAGAUAUAUGGAGGAACACCAGUGGCGAGGGCGGCCAUCUGGGACAACACUGACGCUGAGGCACGAAAGCGUGGGGAGCAAACAGGAUUAGAUACCCCUGUAGUCCCUGUCACUUAUAC
rnacentral:rRNA from 1 species